rnacentral:rRNA from 1 species
UACGGCCUGCAGCAGUGGGGAAUAUUGGGCAAUGGGCGCAAGCCUGACCCAGCAACGCCGCGUGAAGGAAGAAGGCUUUCGGGUUGUAAACUUCUUUUAAGAGGGAAGAGCAGAAGACUGUACCUCUAGAAUAAGCCACGGCUAACUAUGUGCCAGCAGCCGCGGUAAU